rnacentral:rRNA from 1 species
UCGAGCGCGUAGCAAUACGAGCGGCAGACGGGUGAGUAACGCGUGGGAAUCUACCUAUCACUAGGGAAUAACUCAGGGAAACUUGUGCUAAUACCCUAUACGACCGAGAGGUGAAAGAUUUAUCGGUGAUAGAUGAGCCCGCGUUGGAUUAGCUAGUUGGUGGGGUAAAGGCCUACCAAGGCGACGAUCCAUAGCUGGUCUGAGAGGAUGAUCAGCCACAUUGGGACUGAGACACGGCCCAA